CUACGGGGUGCUGCAGUGGGGAAUAUUGCGCAAUGGGCGAAAGCCUGACGCAGCCACGCCGCGUGCAGGAAGACACCCCUAUGGGGCGUAAACUGCUUUUAUAUGGGAAGAAGGUCCCGCUCGGCGGGCAUUGACGGUACCAUAGGAAUAAGCACCGGCUAACUCCGUGCCAGCAGCCGCGGUAAUACGGAGGGUGCAAGCGUUGUCCGGAUUCACUGGGUGUAAAGGGUGUGUAGGCGGGCCUGUAAGUCAGAGGUGAAAGCCCACAGCUUAACUGUGGAACUGCCUUUGAUACUGCAGAUCUUGAGUCUCGGAGAGGUCAUUAGAAUUCGUGGUGUAGCGGUGAAAUGCGUAGAUAUCACGAGGAAUACCAGAGGCGUAGGCGGAUGACUGGACGAGUACUGACGCUGAGGCACGAAAGCGUGGGGAGCAAACAGGAUUAGAUACCCCUGUAGUC
rnacentral:rRNA from 1 species